rnacentral:rRNA from 1 species
UACCAGCACCCCGAGUGGUCGGGACGAUUAUUUGGCCUAAAGCAUCCGUAGCCGGUCCUACAAGUCUUCCGUUAAAUCCACCUGCUUAACAGAUGGGCUGCGGAAGAUACUAUAGGGCUAGGAGGCGGGAGAGGCAAGCGGUACUCAGUGGGUAGGGGUAAAAUCCGUUGAUCCAUUGAAGACCACCAGUGGCGAACGCGGCUUGCCAGAAUGCGCUCGACGGUGAGGGAUGAAAGCUGGGGGAGCAAACCGG